AGCCCGACGCGGGGCUCGAACCCACAGACCGCGAGAUCAUGACCUGAGCCGUAGUCGGACGCUCAACAGACUGAGCCACCCAGGCGCCCCAUGACGCUGUUACUAUUGGCAAAAACGGUAUCUUGACUGAGGCUGACUGAAUGACUGCUGGGUAUUGGGUACUGUGUUGGAGACAAGUAAGACUCUCCUACAGUGUGGAUGGACCCAGAGGAGUGAAGUUUUCUCAGAAAGCACUGUAAUGAUCAUCAUCCUCUGCCAGUUGAGAAAUCUUGGUGUUGAUUCUUCUUUCGUUCCAGAGUUUGUAAUUGACUGGACUCUUUAAUUAUUAGAUACUUUUCUGUGAGGAAACCUUUGAACUUUUGGAGAGGAAGACUUUUAUGUUUGAUAGGAAUUCUUAAGUUCUUUUUUUUUCAAUAAAGACAGAGUAAGAAAAUCCAGUAACAGUGGCUUCCUGCCUUACUGUCUUGAGGACAGCCAGUCUUCUCACUCAGGGCUAAAUGUCCUGUGAAACUGAUCAUAAAUGGUAUGAAUAGCUUUAAUGGAAUCUUGUCUCUUUCUUACACUAUCUACAGAAGUUGGUGUCAUUUACAGCUGACAAUGAAAUGAGAAUCUGAAUAUUCUUAGGUAUUUUCUAAUAGAGUGCUCGCUGGCUGCAAUUCAGAAUUAUAUCACCCUUUUAUUAGCAAGGAGGUGUUCCCCCACCCUAUUCACUCCUUCGACAAGUAUUCACCAAGUGCCUUUUAGGUGCCAGAUACUUAUAAUUAAAUUCUUAACCUUAGGGCUUCGUGUCGAUGGUUUGCCAGAUUUUAAAUUCUACUGCAUCAUGUAAGUUCAAGUUAAUUAAUUUUAGGUACCAAGAAAUGAGACUUCCUGUUAAGAUGAAAAUUAACCUUAUGAGAUUAAUACAGAUAUUUGAAAGCCUUCUUGUAAUUGAAACAGUUUUUAAGAUCUUCAAAUUUUGAUAAGUUGGGCCAAAAUGACUCUAUGAAUAAAUAAACAAACAAACAUAAACAAAAAAAACCAACUGAACUUUUAUAUACAUUUCAAAUUGUUUUAGGGUAUUGGAAAUAAUAGGGGAAAUAUUCAGUAACACACAAUGUGUAAAAUCUCAGUACAUAUUUUAAGAAAUCCAUAAAUUGUGAGUUGAUAAGCCCCUAAAUACGACUGUUGGCCACAGGCAUCAAUGAUUCAGGUGACUGUUUUUUAUGGGAUUACUAGAAGUUACAUGGGCUAUUUUUGAGUGAAGACAUGAAUUUUCCUUCAAUGAACCUCCAGCAACAACAAAUCUUAUUUUAUAAAAUUCCGUGUUAAUGGAGAGUCCAUUUGGGAGUGUGCCAGAGGCAAUGUUUCCUGUUGGUUUUCCUGUUCUAUGAAUAAGAAUCUGAAACAUGUAUCUAUUAAGUUGAAGGCUAACAUGUAAUUCUCUGCUCCAGAGACAUUGAAGAAAUGCGAAUUAUCAAUGUUAACUCAACUUGAGUCAGCUGUUUAGUAGAAUUAAAAAUUGGAGAUACAG